GGAAGAAGAGAAGAAUUCCCUGCUAUUCACGGCCUUCGAGAUCAUGUGAGCUGACCUUCGACUUGUAAGCAACAAAUGCAAAAAAGGACCAAGCUACGAAUGAUAACUAGUCAAACAAACUUCAAAAACAGAUGAAUUAUUCUAAGGGACAGGAUCUGGACAUACCUUCAAUUCUUAACCCAUGCCUAGGUUCCAUGCUUGGAAAUCCACAUAUCUAUUCCAUGAUGAUCAUGCCAAUGACAUUUCGACCAAUCUCCCAUCAUUAUGAUCAAAUGAAUUGGAAAUUAGAAAAGCUUGCUUUUCUAGAUGCCCGG